rnacentral:rRNA from 1 species
GACGAACGCUGGCGGCGUGCCUAAUACAUGCAAGUAGAACGCUGAAGGAGGAGCUUGCUUCUCUGGAUGAGUUGCGAACGGGUGAGUAACGCGUAGGUAACCUGCCUGGUAGCGGGGGAUAACUAUUGGAAACGAUAGCUAAUACCGCAUAAGAGUAGAUGUCGCAUGACAUUUGCUUAAAAGGUGCAAUUGCAUCACUACCAGAUGGACCUGCGUUGUAUUAGCUAGUUGGUGAGGUAACGGCUCACCAAGGCAACGAUACAUAGCCGACCUGAGAGGGUGAUCGGCCACACUGGGACUGAGACACGGCCCAGACUCCUACGGGAGGAAGCAGUAGGGAAUCUUCGGCAAUGGACGGAAGUCUGACCGAGCAACGCCGCGUGAGUGAAGAAGGUUGUCGGAUCGUAAAGCUCUGUUGUAAGAGAAGAACGAGUGUGAGAGUGGAAAGUUCACACUGUGACGGUAUCUUACCAGAAAGGGACGGCUAACUACGUG